rnacentral:lncRNA from 1 species
CCCGGUAGAAGAAAGCAGGUAAGCAGCGGCGGCCUACAUGUCUAUGGUUUGGUACAUGCCGCCAUCUAAAACACUUACAAUGAACAUCAAUGUUUCCGAGCUUUGCUUGUUGAGCCUGUCGUUGCCAUGUAAGCCAGCCACCAAGUGUUCAGAAAAUAUCUGAAGUUAUAUUCUACAGUAGAAUCUAAUCACCUUAUUGUCGUUGUUUUCUGUGUCAGUCAUUAUUUGGAUAACACCCUUUUGUAGAAUCUCGGUGAUGUUAGGACAUUGCAAGCAUUAUUUGAACUUGAAGCGCUUCUUCUUACAAGUAUGAUCAUUUUAUAAUCGUUUCUUUGGUUGUGGUGGAUUAUUUAGUGAACAUAAUUCCUUUUUUAGGUCAUUGCAUGAAAAAUAAGAAUACUUAUAUCACUGAAUUUCUGGUGGUUUUCUUUGGAAGUCAGUUCAGUUAGGCGCUUCUAACUGCUUAAGCUCAAUUUAUCUUCAGUUGCCCUUAAUUACCAGAUGUUGGGUAUUUUCUUCCAUGAAACUGCUCUUCAGUUUGAUAUAAUCUGCAGGAGCAAUCCAGGAGCAUGGUGUGUCACCUAUGUCCUAAUCAAGUGUGUGAUCUCCUAUUGACUUUGCCUACUGAAUUAUAACGAGUUUUGAACUUUGUUGACUUAUUUUCCUUAUCCUGCUUGUUAGGUUUUCAUGUCAUCCUGCACGCUGCUCAUAAUGUGCAUUUCUUGUUAUUUGCUAGUGGUUGUACUGUACAAAGCUUGGUCUGUUAUUGAAACACAUAAGUGCGGCAGCAAAUUCAUAGUGUGCAUUUGUUGUUAUUUGCUAAUGGUUGUACUAAACAAAGCAUGGUCGAAACACAUCCUUUAUGUUAUGUACAAAAUUAGCUUAUUAGUCCUUUUUUAGUGGGGCAAACUUAUAUAUGUCAAUUUUUCCUCCAGCUGUGUAUUACAUAUUGUGAUAAUUGUACAAAGGCUGCCAUAAAAGAUACGCAUGUCUUUAGAUCAGCAAUAUGCCAGGCAAAUAAUGGUCGAAACACAUACCUUAAUUUCUGCUCUGUGUUCAGGCCCUAGCAGAGCUUGAACCUUAUUCAGCAAAUAAUGGUCACUGAGUCUUGGUCGUCACUGGACCACAAUUCUUGACAUACUUCCAUGGACGCUGGAAGUAACAUGAGCUACAGAUAUGCAUCUCAAUGGGGGGUUACUUCUUUCCUCAACAAGUUACAGUACAGUAGGAGAGGUAAGGUGAACACGCACCUUUGGUUUUAUGGUUCAUAGAACGUCAUUGUAGACUGUACUAUGUUUUCGGCUAAGCAGAAGCGGCGUUGGCACUGAAGAACUUCAGUCUUAUUCUGGAGAGUCUGAUGCGUUAUGAAUUAUUGUUGUAUAUUGAUCUUGUACUCAUAUGAAUAGGGCAAUGAUGCUGACCUGUGGCUUGACCUUCCAUGGAAAACUCUGGCUUGCCGUGAGGGGGGUCGUCGCUUCCAGAGAUCGUCGCCGGUCCGGUAGUCGCUUUAAGAGAUCGUCUCUCGGUCUGUUCGUCGCUUCCAGAGAUCGUCGCCCGGCCUGGUCGUCGCUUCCAGGGAUGGGGAUGCCUUCACCAAAUGAGGCAAAAUCUGGCUCGCAGAUAUGUGUCAUCCAUUGGGAAGGUUUCGGUUGUAUACAUGAAAAGAAUCCAACUUGAUAUGUGGAAGGUCUAGGCUGUAUACACAGAAAGACUACAACGUGAUCAUGAAUUGUGAUAUGAUUUCUGCUAUACAUGGAAUACAUGUUAUAUACAAAAGGAAAAAGAGUCCGUUGUUAUGUAAAGAAGGAAAAUAAUCUAAUUUAUGAACUCCCCAAUUAGGAGUAGAAGAUUAUGGAAGCUAUUAUUUGGAAAGGAUCCCAUUGUUUCGAAAUUUUAUUGUGCAAGUGAGGUGUGGCAUGGAAAGG